rnacentral:lncRNA from 1 species
CAGAAAGGAACAAUCAGCUGAAGUGUAAAGACAGAGCGUUUGAAAAAUCCUAACCCUUCUUCCCUGCAUGCUAAAAUCAGCUAACAGAGAUAAACUAGUAGCUGGUUCUUAAAAGAGGGAUUUGUUUACACUACGUAAUUUUUAUCAGUGGGACAACCUGUUUGCCUGCCUGAGAUCUUAUUACUUAUUAAUGCAUAUUACCUGUGAAUAAGAAAAAGGUGCUUGCAUUUCAGAAGUUUGUGUGAAUCACGUGUCCUCCUCAUUUCCUACCAGAGUUCAGAUUAAAAAAAUGAAUGAUGCUUCUAUGAACAUUCUUAUAUGUGCAUCUGGUGCUGUUUUUAUUGCUGUUUUUAUUGUUUUAUUUAUUGAGCACUUAUUUUGUGUCAGGCACGGUUUUAAGUGCUUCAAAUAUAUUGAUUCAUUUAAAUCUGCUGCCCUCUGAG